rnacentral:lncRNA from 1 species
GUCUCCUGCACGUAUCAAAACCCAUUAACAAACAGCCACAAUCCGUGCCCUGGGGAAGCAGAGCAAGCUGCUUUUCUUUUUCUUGGCUGGCUCAGCCCGUGCUGGAGUUGUGGGACUUUUCAUCUGUGCACUCAAGAGGAGCGGAGUAAAAGUAGGAUGAUAAAUUGUGGAAAAAAAAGAAACUCGCUGGCUUUGCUCAGAACCUCUGGCCUGCAGCUCCUCCUCUCGCUGUACUCCUUCCAGCACCCCAGAAUUCCCUGCCUCCCUGCAUGUUAUGGCACCUUUGGGAUGUGUUAGUCAUAAGCAUGAAGCUACUGGUGCUUUGCAGGGAUAUUUUCACUCUGGCUCUGGCAGGAGAGCUCUGACACAGCCCUGCUGUCGGCAGCGCUCGCUCAACGACGCCUCCUGAGAUCCCAAAACUCCAAAAAAAAAAGGGGGAAACGGCCAAUUUUCAUUUCCUCAGGGAACAAUGAGAAAAUUUGUCUUUCUGAGCCUAUCUCCUUCUGAAAUGAGCUCCAGGAGUAGUCACAACCUGCCAUAAAAAUGCCAUGUGCAAGAGAAUAUAUUUAAUAUGGGGCAGGCAGAAUGGAACGAUACGAUCUGUUUGGGGUUUGAAGCACCAAGGUUCUGACUCUGCUCCUUGGGAACCUUCCUCAUCCAGAUCACAGGGAUUUCCAAAAUUGCAGCAUUCCCUCAAAGCUGAAAAUAAAUCUCCAGAAAUCUCUUGGAAAACUGAAGAUGAAUCUCCAAAAACCUCCUCCAAAGCUGAUGAUCACUACCAUUACUGAGCGGUGAGUGUUGGAAAUGCCUGGAAAAGCCAAGGUGAGCCCAAAAUCUGCUUUAAACCCCUGCCCCAAGCACUGACCCAGCCCAGCUCUGCUCCCCUCAGUCCCACCUCACCCUUUAAGCAGAGCUCAUCACCAAUAAUUAAUUAAUUAAACCAAAGCUCUUUCCCAGCCUUGUUCCCGUGCUGGCUGGGAGCAGAGCUGGCAGUGUGAAGUCAUUUUUGUGCCCUGUGUCAUCACGCUGAUGUCAGGGCUGCUGUCAGCACUGUCAGGGUGGUGUUUAUGAAGCUGGAGAUCGAUAUUAAAUAGUGGAUUUAGGAUCCAUUGGCACAGCUGCAGCUCGGGCUGCCUUUGACCUUCUUCGGCUGACAGGGAGCCAGAGGGGUUUUUCCAUGGCAUUAAGUUAAAGGAGUUUCCACUGCCCAGCUUUCUGCUCUGCCUUCACCAUAUCACUGUCCCAGCUCUUACUGGGAAUCAUAAAAAAAGAUUUCUCAGAGGAAAUAAUAAAAAUUGAUGGAAGAAAUCUCCA